CGUGGCGUUUGUCCUGCUGUUAUUUGGCUUAUGAUUAUUCUAGAUGUGUCAAUCAGUGAGCUGGAUUCUCUCUCCGGUGGUGAAAAUGAAGUGUUGAAUCUCUCGUAGUCCGAUAGAACGCGCGCUGGACUGGGAGUUGAGGUUAGAAGAGUGCUUCAGAAGACGUAGAGGAGGACAGCGUGACUGCUUGUGUGCGUGUGUGUUUUGUUGUGGCUCUGGUAGUCGAACGGUCAGUCAUGUAGCUCGGGGCCCGAACAUUGCCGAUUACUACCGACGUGUGCCGAGAGCGGAGACUGGCGGCCCGCGUGGUGUAGAACGCGCCGGUGUAUCUGCCACUACACUGGCAAGUUCGCAAGACAGGCAGGCUCCACGAAAUCAGAAGCAGUCGGGAAUUCUCUCAGGCAAGAGAAUCAGCAGCUUUCAAUUCGACACUCCACUUCGCUGGCGCCACCGACUACACAUUCCGUAAGGCGCUGCUGUCAGGCUCCGGUCAGGGGAAUAGGAGUAUGUUGGAGCCGCGUUGGAGGCCAGUGCAGGUGGAAGUUGUUUGGUGUUUUGGUGCAGACGACAAUUCACAAGUUAUGAUAUUCUAGGGUCGAGUCGAGUUAACUUGCAGAUUCGUCUUUUUGAUGGUUAUCGUUUCACGUAAGAUUCGUCAAUACAUGCUAACGCUUCGGAGAAACCUGCUGUCUCCACCUUCAGAGCUGAGAUCCUGAAAUUUCACUAAGGAAUUUGCCCUAUCAGAUAAAUCCCGAGGAAGACAGUCGAGAGGAGAAAAGACGCUCAGUGGACACCAACUAUAGACUGAUGACUGUUUUAUGGAAUUUAUCGUCAUUACUGUGGUAGACGUUUCGAUGGUGCUUGCUGCCUCCAUCAUCAGGGCGAUGAAUAUUGCUGUCUUCUGGGAUGUUGAAGGGAGGAAACCAACUGAGUGUAAUUUGGAUAAUAAUAUUAAAUUGGAUAUUAAAGCAAUAGGAUGUGAAGGUGUGGACUGGAGUUAAUAUUUUUUGGUAUUCUGUACGAUGUACGGAUUCUGACCUCUGGUGAAAAGUAUUUUAUUCGUAGACCGAAUAUUAAGUACGGCUUAUAUUCAAAUGUAUACGUCAUAUUGCGUAGUGUAUAACGAAGUGAAAAUUUUUUAAAAUGUAGGCCCUUUUUUUUUCAUAAUAAGCGCAUUUAGGGGUUUAAUAUUGAUUUUUAGUUAGGGUAAGCGAGUUGCGAUAUGAGACAUGACGUGUAGCGCCAACCUUCGUCAUGCAUCUGAACUGUCACCCACUCUCGUUUUAAUUUUAAU